CUACCAUGGUGGUAACGGGUAACGGGGUGUUAGGGCACGACACCGGAGAGGGAGCCUGAGAAACGGCUACCACAUCCAAGGAAGGCAGCAGGCGCGCAAAUUACCCAAUCCCGACACGGGGAGGUAGUGACAAUAAAUAACAAUACAGGGUUCUUUUGGAUCUUGUAAUUGGAAUGAGUACAAUUUAAAUCUCUUAACGAGGAACAAUUGGAGGGCAAGUCUGGUGCCAGCAGCCGCGGUAAUUCCAGCUCCAAUAGCGUAUAUUAAAGUUGUUGCAGUUAAAAAGCUCGUAGUUGAAUUUCGGGAUCAAUAUUUCGGUCAUGCCGUUGGUAUGCACUGUUAUCAUUGAUUUCUCACCUUCUAAAGAACCGUAAUGCCAUUAAUUUGGUGUUACGGGGAAUUAGGACUGUUACCUUGAAAAAAUUAGAGUGUUUAAAGCAGGCUCACGCUUGAAUACAUUAGCAUGGAAUAAUGAAAUAGGACAUCCGAUUCUAUUUUGUUGGUUUCUAGGAUCGAUGUAAUGAUUAAUAGGGAUAGUUGGGGGCAUUAGUAUUCAAUUGUCAGAGGUGAAAUUCUUGGAUUUAUUGAAGACUAACUACUGCGAAAGCAUUUGCCAAGGAUGUUUUCAUUAAUCAAGAACGAAAGUUAGGGGAUCGAAGACGAUCAGAUACCGUCGUAGUCUUAACCAUAAACUAUGCCGACUAGGGAUCGGAUGAUGUUAAUUUUUUAAUGACUCAUUCGGCGCCUUACUGGAAACCAAAGUGUU
rnacentral:rRNA from 1 species